UUUAUAUAUUAUAAAAGCUAUAAUGCUAGAACUAGUAACAAGAAAUUUACUUUCUCCUUAAUGUAAAUAUAAGCCAGGAUGAACCCCUCACUGGCAUUUAACGCAUAUGAAAAUAUUGUAAUAACACUUCCUAGAAAACCUUACCAAUUUUAACGUUAACCUUACACCAGAACAUUACAGGAAAGAUUAAAAGAGAGAGAAGGAACUCGGCAAAUUUUAGCCCCGCCUGUUUACCAAAAACAUCGCCUCUUGACAAAACAUAAGAGGUCCAGCCUGCCCAGUGACAAAGUUUAACGGCCGCGGUAUCCUAACCGUGCGAAGGUAGCAUAAUCACUUGUUCUUUAAAUAAGGACUAGUAUCAACGGCAUCACGAGGGCCAUACUGUCUCCUCUCUUCAAUCAGUGAAACUGAUCUCCCCGUGAAGAAGCGAGGAUACAGUUAUAAGACGAGAAGACCCCAUGGAGCUUUAAGCAACAUUUUCACCUUUUAUCUUUAAAUCAACCUAAUAGAAAGAAUUGAAUCUUAGCUUUAGGUUGGGGGGACCGCGGAGUACAAACUAACCUCCACGACAAACGGGCAACGCCCUUAUCCACGAACUACAACUCUAAGAAUCAGAACACUGAUGUUUAUUGACCCAUCUUAUGAUCAACGAACCAAGUUACCCUGGGGAUAACAGCGCAAUCUACUUCAAGAGCCCCUAUCGACAAGUAGGUUUACGACCUCGAUGUUGG
rnacentral:rRNA from 1 species